rnacentral:misc_RNA from 1 species
GAUGAAGAACGUAGCGAAAUGCGAUAAGUAAUGUGAAUUGCAGAAUUCAGUGAAUCAUCGAAUCUUUGAACGCACAUUGCGCCCGCCAGUAUUCUGGCGGGCAUGCCUGUUCGAGCGUCAUUUCAACCAUCAAGCCCCCGGGCCUGUGUUGGGGACCUGCGGCUGCCCGCAGGCCCCGAAAACCAGUGGCGGGCUCGCUGUCACCCCGAGCGUAGUAGCAACACCUCGCCCAGGGAGUGCCGCGGGCACCGGCCGUAAAACCUCCUCUCGCCCCCCCCCGCGGGAGGGAACACCCCAAAGGUUGACCUCGGAUCAGGUAGGAAGACCCGCUGAACUUAAGCAUAUCAAUAAGCGGAGGA